rnacentral:rRNA from 1 species
GCAGUCGACGGCAGCAUAGGAGCUUGCUCCUGAUGGCGAGUGGCGAACGGGUGAGUAAUAUAUCGGAACGUGCCCUAGAGUGGGGGAUAACUAGUCGAAAGACUAGCUAAUACCGCAUACGAUCUACGGAUGAAAGUGGGGGAUCGCAAGACCUCAUGCUCCUGGAGCGGCCGAUAUCUGAUUAGCUAGUUGGUGGGGUAAAAGCCUACCAAGGCAACGAUCAGUAGCUGGUCUGAGAGGACGACCAGCCACACUGGGACUGAGACACGGCCCAGACUCCUACGGGAGGCAGCAGUGGGGAAUUUUGGACAAUGGGGGCAACCCUGAUCCAGCAAUGCCGCGUGAGUGAAGAAGGCCUUCGGGUUGUAAAGCUCUUUUGUCAGGGAAGAAACGGUAGUAGCGAAUAACUAUUACUAAUGACGGUACCUGAAGAAUAAGCACCGGCUAACUACGUGCCAGCAGCCGCGGUAAUACGUAGGGUGCAAGCGUUAAUCGGAAUUACUGGGCGUAAAGCGUGCGCAGGCGGUUGUGUAAGUCAGAUGUGAAAUCCCCGGGCUCAACCUGGGAAUUGCAUUUGAGACUGCACGGCUAGAGUGUGUCA